rnacentral:misc_RNA from 1 species
UUUCCGUAGGUGAACCAGCGGAAGGAUCAUUACUGAGUACUAUAACUCAUAACCCUUUGUGUACCUUUAUACCUGUUGCUUCGUCGGCGCGCCUCCCUGGCCUUGCCCCCCCCCAUUAUCAGAAACCCUGUUCGAUCCCCACGUGACAUCUAAGUGUUCUAAGCUAAUUGUUAAAACAAUCAACAACGGCUCUCUUGGAUCCAGCAUCGAUGAUGAAGGACGCAGAUCGGAAGAGCACACGACUGAACUACACCCACAUAGGUUCAUCUCUUAUGACGC